rnacentral:tRNA from 1 species
UCCCUGGUAGCUCAGACAUAAAGAAUCUGCUUGCAAUGCAGGAGACCCAGGUUGGAUCCCUGGAUGGGGAA